rnacentral:lncRNA from 1 species
GGUGGAGGCGGAAGUGACUGAUCAAUUCAGGGGCGUGGGGUUCGUUUAGGUUUUGCCCUGUGUAUGACCUCGUUUGGAGCCAUGAAACCAGGGCACUGAAGAUAUUAUUUAUAUUCAGAGGCUAUGUUGGUUUGGAGAAGGAAAGGUGGCUUUUCUACAAUAUAAAGAUGGAAAUGGGAUGAUGUUCAUUGCAAAUUAGGGAAGCUCUUCCACGAGUUCACGAAUGGAAAUAACAUCAAGAGUUUUUCAUCUUCUUAGUGUGCAAGAUAAAUAUCAAGCAGUGCAAUUCCUGGAUUUAUGAUGUCUGAGGAAUAGUCUUAGUGGAUUAUCCCAAACUUGACACAUUUUUUGCAAAAUGCUAUACAAAAAGAAGAUACAUGCGAUUAUGACAAGAUUCUCCACUUGGUGUGACCAGUCUCAUACAACCCAAGGCUGUGUGUCCAAAGGCAACUGCACUUCUGGGACUGGAAACAAUUUGGGAACAUUUUUCAUUGCAUAUUUGGCUCAGAUCUGCCACUUAGUUGAAGUAUAAUCUUCAGCAAGUGACUCAAAAUUUCUGAAUCUCGUUUUCACCAUCAAUACAUGACAAUAAUAUUUUCUCCUUUAAGUAUUUGAAAGUUUUGAGAAAGCCACAAUAGCAACACUUGCAAAAGUGCUCCAUUGUAAAAUGCAAGGGAGAGGUAGUUGUGACCCUUUGGGGAAAACUAUAGUUGCCACAAUUGUCUCUGAAGUGAAGCAUGUUUCUUAGACUGAAGGAAAGCCCUGGGAGAGAUUGGUCUAGCUUUAGGAUGACUGUGGGUAGAGCUUCUAGGGAGAAGAAUGAAACGUAUUCCUCUUCCUUCUUUCUAGGAAUACUGGAAAGCAUUUAUUUGUUUGCUAAAUUGCUCUCUUUCCACCAGCGAUAUCAACUCUGAAAUACUUUUUAGAUCUUGACAAUAAUCAAAAGGUAGCCAGGUGCAUCGGGGAAAGCACUGACAUUGGAGUCAG